UACAAAGUGAGUGUGAGACUAGCCUGGGU
rnacentral:piRNA from 1 species